rnacentral:rRNA from 1 species
GACGAACGCUGGCGGCGUGCUUAACACAUGCAAGUCGAGCGGAAAGGCUCCUUCGGGGGUACUCGAGCGGCGAACGGGUGAGUAACACGUGAGUAAUCUGCCCUCCACUUUGGGAUAGCUCCCGGAAACGGGGAUUAAUACCGGAUAUGACCACUCCAGGCAUCUGGUGGUGGUGGAAAGUCUUUCGGUGGGGGAUGUGCUCGCGGCCUAUCAGCUUGUUGGUGGGGUAAUGGCCUACCAAGGCUUCGACGGGUAGCCGGCCUGAGAGGGUGACCGGCCACACUGGGACUGAGACACGGCCCAGACUCCUACGGGAGGCAGCAGUGGGGAAUAUUGGACAAUGGGCGGAAGCCUGAUCCAGCAACGCCGCGUGAGGGAUGACGGCCUUCGGGUUGUAAACCUCUUUCAGCACCGGCGAAGCUGCCCUUCUUUGGGGGGUGGUGACGGUAGGUGCAGAAGAAGGACCGGCCAACUACGUGCCAGCAGCCGCAGUAAUAC